rnacentral:rRNA from 1 species
CAUGUCUUUUUGAUAAUAAUUUAAAGUCUAAUCUGCUCAAUGAGUGUUAAAUAGGCCGCAGUAUUUUGACUGUGCAAAGGUAGCAUAAUAAUUAGUUUCUUAAUUGGGAAAUUGUAUCAAUGAUUGGACGAAAAAAUUUCUGUCUCAAUUAAAUUGUUUAUUGAAUUUUAUUAUUAAGUUAAAAAGCUUAAAUUUUUAUAAAAGACGUGAAGACCCUAUAGAGUUUAAUAUUGAAAAUUUAUUUGAUUAUAGAAAUUAUAUUGAGUUUUUAAUAUUUGGUUGGGGUGACUAGAAGAUUAAAUUAAUUGAUGAUAUUCAAAUUUUAAUUGUAAUAUUAUUAAGUUAAGAUAACAGCGUAAUGUUUCUUGAGAGUUCUUAUUUUUGCGACCUCGAUGUUGGAUUAAAAUUAAUUUAUGGUGCGGUGGCUAUAAGAUUAGGUCUGUUCGACCUUUAAAAUUUUACAUGAUUUGAGUUUAGACCGGCGUAAGCCAGGUCGGAUUCUAUCUUUAUCGAAAUAAUUUAUUUUAGUACGAAAAGACCAAAUAAAGUUUACUAUUA